rnacentral:tRNA from 1 species
GGAGUUGUGGCUCAGUGGUAGUGUGCUUACCUAGCACAUAUGAGGCACUGGGUUCCAUCCUCAGCACCA